rnacentral:rRNA from 1 species
GACGAACGCUGGCGGCGUGCUUAACACAUGCAAGUCGAACGGAAAGGCCCUGCUUUUGUGGGGUGCUCGAGUGGCGAACGGGUGAGUAACACGUGAGUAACCUGCCCUUGACUUUGGGAUAACUUCAGGAAACUGGGGCUAAUACCGGAUAGGAGCUCCUGCUGCAUGGUGGGGGUUGGAAAGUUUCGGCGGUUGGGGAUGGACUCGCGGCUUAUCAGCUUGUUGGUGGGGUAGUGGCUUACCAAGGCUUGGACGGGUAGCCGGCCUGAGAGGGUGACCGGCCACAGUGGGACUGAGAUACGGCCCAGACUCCUACGGGAGGCAGCAGUGGGGAAUAUUGCACAAUGGGCGGAAGCCUGAUGCAGCAACGCCGCGUGCGGGAUGACGGCCUUCGGGUUGUAAACCGCGUUCGCCUGUGACGAAGCGUGAGUGACGGUAAUGGGUAAAGAAGCACCGGCUAACUACGUG